AAAUCUGGCAUGUUUAACUACAGAGACAUCAGGAUGUGUUAGAGCUUCUUAAAACAAUAUAACUAAAUGAGCCUAAGCGAUUGUUUCUUUUACUUACCAAAAAAAUCUGAAUUUUAUUUUAUUAUUGCUUAAAUAGCAAUAUUUGGCAGUGGGUGAAAACGUACCUUUCAUAUCAGUGCAAGGAAAAAUUAAAACAGAAAUGAAAAAUGAAGAAGUUGGUUAUACCAGAAAUCACUGAAGGAGCUUUUGCCUUGUCCCCUGUCCUGCGUCCAAGCAUGUUGAUGUCAGUGGCACAUGCAGGCUUCUGCUGUGAGGAACAGUCAGCACCAGGUUUCAGUGGGCUCUCUUGAAACACUCUAUGCUGCAGCUGCUGGGAUGGCUCUUGUGCCAGAAAGGAUUAGAAUCACUCUACCCCCCCUGCCCUAGGCAGGCCUUCAAGCUGAACCGCUUCCUGAAGAGCAUUGAAUUUUCUAUACCAGAUUCUACUUCAGUGGCCAGGACCUUUAUGGCCACUGAUUCUUUUGCUCUGGGUUCUGAAAAAACAUCGUGGAUCCAUCCCUAAAGUAGAAAUGUUCUUUUCCAUCCCGCAAGCAAGGCUAAAGAUUGGAGGAGAAUGAAUGUGAAUCUAAUUCAGGAUUGCGGUCGUGCCAUUAAAAGUUUUCAGCUUCAGAACAAAAUGAUUUGGGAAAUAUGAUCAGUUUUCUUACUCUAUCAACAAUGUUUAAAAGUUGUAGGUGGUUCAAGUGACUUGACUCAAAUAACGACAAUCUUUGCAUGUCAAUAAUGGCUACAGUUUAAGGAGUGAAAGAUAGUUUUGAGUUUGGAAAAGAAGAAACUGUUAAUAUCAGCCUGUAAUGGGAUUAAAUGUUGAAUAUGGGGAAGAGGCAAAAAGCAAAUAGAUGCCCGAAAGUUAUCCUUGCACUGAGGAUGGGUUUAAAGUGCUGUAUAUCCUAGGGCCCACCUUACUGUAGAGGUAUAAUGGGGAAAUAUUUCAAUUAGAAACCCAUUAACAAGCAUUUAAUCCUUCUUUAAGGCAUUAGAGGAAAUAGAAUAAAACAUUUACUGUACAAAUCUGCUGCA
rnacentral:lncRNA from 1 species